rnacentral:rRNA from 1 species
GACGAACGCUGGCGGCGUGCUUAACACAUGCAAGUCGAGCGGUAAGGCCCUUUCGGGGGUACACGAGCGGCGAACGGGUGAGUAACACGUGGGUGACCUGCCCUCAGCUCUGGGAUAAGCCUGGGAAACUGGGUCUAAUACCGGAUAUGACUCCAUGACGCAUGUUGUGGGGUGGAAAGCCUUGUGCGGCUGAGGAUGGGCCCGCGGCCUAUCAGCUUGUUGGUGGGGUGAGGCCUACCAAGGCGACGACGGGUAGCCGGCCUGAGAGGGCGACCGGCCACACUGGGACUGAGACACGGCCCAGACUCCUACGGGAGGCAGCAGUGGGGAAUCUUGCGCAAUGGGCGAAAGCCUGACGCAGCGACGCCGCGUGAGGGAUGACGGCCUGGUUGUAA